AAAUGGAAAGUUACCCGCUUUCUAUACACACUUGCAUUCAUACAGAAUGAAUGACACUUCUUAUCUGAAUACAAACUGGAGUGGAUUCAUUAUCUGUAUUUAAAGAUGAAAUCAGCUGAAAGCAUAUUACAGCACUUGAGUGUUCAAGUCCCAGUUCAUAAAAAUUUUAUUCUCACUUCAGUUACAAUCUUCCUGCACUGUGUGCUGGAAAGGAACUUGCCCUGAGGCAUAAAUGCAUUGCACAGCUAAUUCCACAUGUCUUCUAAUGAAUGAGAAUCAGCCACAUAUUCAUGGCUCUGCAGCAAAGGUGGGGAUAGGUGAGACGAGGCAUGCUAGCAGUGUGAAAAGGUGUCUCUUUCCCUUUCUUUGAGGCACAACCUUGUGAGACAGUGGAACCCACACAUCUUGAAGCAAACUCUGCUGAUUUGCUAAAGCUUAUUAAAAAGGAUUAGCACGCCUUCUAAUACUCAUCUUCCACAAGGAAAGACCACAAAUCUCAGUUCUUCUGGAAUGUGUCUCCUGAAAAGAUGUAGUUUAGGACCACUACCUCUCCAUGCCCUCUGUGGGCACUUGAGAGAUCAGCCAAAAGGAGCAGACAACAGGCACAAGGAGAAGAGCUGAAGCCCACACUGAAGAGGAACACUAUGUGGCAAGCACAGCUUUAAAGAGAUGUUGCCAAGAUGGCACAGAUUUGGAAAAUAAAUUAAUUUUUGUACGGGAGGAAAAAUAAAA